GAUGAACGCUGGCGGCGUGCUUUAUGCAUGCAAGUCGAACGGUCCCGAUUUAUCGGGACAGUGGCGGAUGGGUGAGUAACGCGUAAGUAACCUGCCCUUAAGUGGGGGAUAACCCUGGGAAACUGGGGCUAAUACCGCAGUGGUGGUAGGGUGAUGCUCUAUCACUAAAGCCUUCGGGCGCUUAAGGAGGGGCUUGCGUCCGAUUAGCUAGUUGGUAGGGUAAUGGCCUACCAAGGCGAUGAUCGAUAGCUAGUCUGAGAGGACGGUCAGCCACACUGGGACUGAGACACGGCCCAGACUCCUACGGGAGGCAGCAGCAAGGAAUUUUAUGCAAUGGGCGAAAGCCUGACAUAGCGACGCCGCGUGGGGGAUGAAGGCCUUCGGGUCGUAAACCCCUUUUGCAGGGGAAGAAGAUCUGACGGUACCCUGCGAAUAAGCCACGGCUAACUACGUGCCAGCAGCCGCGGUAAUACGUAGGUGGCAAGCGUUGUCCGGAUUUAUUGGGCGUAAAGGGCGCGUAGGCGGUUCAUUAAGUUCGGGGUGAAAUCUCCCGGCUCAACUGGGAGGGGUCCCCGGAUACUGAUGGACUAGAGGGGGGUAGAGGAAGGUGGAAUUCCCGGUGUAGCGGUGAAAUGCGUAGAUACCGGGAGGAACACCGGUGGCGAAGGCGGCCUUCUGGGCCUACCCUGACGCUGAGGCGCGAAAGCGUGGGGAGCGAACCGGAUUAGAUACCCGGGUAGUCCACGCCCUAAACGUUGGACACUAGGUGUGGGGGGUAUCGACCCCUCCCGUGCCGCAGCUAACGCCUUAAGUGUCCCGCCUGGGAAGACGGCCGCAAGGCU
rnacentral:rRNA from 1 species